GAGGUCUGAAAUUUAGUUUGUACUUGGCGGCCUGAAACAUACACAUUUUUUAAAUAUGCAAAAACAACAUAUACAAAACCCCGGAACGUCGCAUGCACAAGGAGGACAAUCUUCGGUUUUGCCGCAGGGAUCGCCAUAACCUGGUUUUUUAACUUCAGCCUGAAGCUCCAAGCCUAAAGAUACAUUAAAGUUUGUAAUCAAUUAGUAGAUAUUUGUAUUAAUGUGAAGAUGAAUUAAUUUAGAAGCGUUUUAUUUAGAUUAUAUUAGACACCACGAUGAGACCGACAAUAUUUGUAUAUAGUACGUUACAUGAGUAAAUACGUGAGAUACUUCUUAUGAAAUUGUAUUGGAAAAAAUGCAAACACAUUUUUGCAUUGAAGUUAAUCGAGAAGAAACAAUCAUAAGUUAAUAGAGAAUUCUAAAAAAUAAUCAUUUCCUAGGAUCCUAAAAACGUUGUAAUUAAAAUAAAUUAAGGAAUUAAUUGUUUGUCAGAUUUAAAUAAAAAACUAAAUGAAUCUUCUACUAGUAAAAUGGAAAAAAUACCUGAAGCAACAACAAAGAGGAAGACAAAGAAAAACACGACAACCAAGGACUUCUUCAUAUUUUGUUGGGUAUAG
rnacentral:lncRNA from 1 species